AAAACAUGUCUUUUUGAGAAUAAUUUAAAGUCUAAUCUGCCCACUGAUAUAAAUUAAAGGGCUGCAGUAUUUUGACUGUACAAAGGUAGCAUAAUCAAUAGUUUUUUAAUUGGAAACUUGUAUGAAAGAUUUGAUGAAAUAUAAACUGUCUCAUAUUUAUUAUUAAAACUUUAUUUUUUAGUUAAAAAGCUAAAAUAAUUUUAAAAGACGAGAAGACCCUAUAGAGUUUUAUAUUUUUAUUUUAUUAAAAAAUUAUAUUAAAAUUAAAUUUAAAAUAAUUAAAAAUAUUGUAUUGGGGUGAUAAAAAAAUAAAAUUAACUUUUUUUAAAUAUAAAAUAUAAAUAAGUAAAUAAUUGAUCCAUAAAUAAUGAUUAAAAGAAAAAAUUACCUUAGGGAUAACAGCGUAAUAUUUUUUUUUAGUUCAUAUAAAAAAAAAAGUUUGCGACCUCGAUGUUGGAUUAAGAUAAAAUUUAAAUGCAAAA
rnacentral:rRNA from 1 species